GAAUGCGCGUUUUUGUGCCAGUAAGCUGCAGAACUGAGAAGUGCAAGAAACUUGGAACGAAAGGUACAUUGGUACUUGUUGCUGGAACCAAUUACUGUACUGUGAUCUCGGGAGAAGGUCGAUUUGAUCUACACUGCGCUGCGUUUAAGUGUUCCCGUUGUGAUGGCGUAAUGAACGCGGAACUUGAGGACUACAUUGGCUCGGGGUAUUGGCCUGGAAAUCCCAAAACACUUGGAAUUUUCUUUACGACUUCAUUUCUGAAGCUGUAUUUCCACCUCAAGAAUUACCUACCAGGUUCAUCUGAAUAUUGCCUUCUAAAGGCAUUGGGUGCAUUUUCAGCUGAUGCAGGACGGGUAUUUUUCAUGAACCAACGAGCACGGAUUCGACGAGUCAAGUGCAUCGCUGACGAUCGUCAUGAAACCUGAAAUGAGCCACGAACCCGAAAUCAAAGUUGAAUACUACGAAGAGACCAACAUCGAAGUUAAAGUCACCGCCCAUCCCAAAUCUAAAGUGAAAUGGUUGAAGGACGGCAUUCAAAUCAAGUCCACCACUAGCGAACGCAUCAGCAUCAGCGAGGAAGCUUCCAACGUUUUUUUUCAAACAAACUUUCUGUCCACUCGGAGGCUCCUACCUUCUCUACGAAACCCAAAAGCUGUUACGCCAGAGCUGGACAGACGGCCAAGUUUGAAGGUUGCGUCCAGGGUAUACCUCUGCCCGUCAUUUCGUGGCAAAAGGCGGACGAAGUCAUUGUCGAAUCGGAACGAUUCAAAAUGGAGAGCGCUGAGGACGGAACGUUUGGUAAUGCAAUUGUAUUAUUUCAUUUAUAAUUAAAUUUUUUCAGCACAACUUCAUAACGAAAGGGAAGCUUCCGUAUUCGACAACCAUUGAACUCCAACAAGCUCCUGUCAUAGCUAAAUUUUAUAGAUGUUUGCGGAUGAAUACCCCGCAUUGUUUCCCUUUAUUUAUUUUUUUGUAUUGAGCAUAUGCGUAGGCUACAAUAAAGAUAUUUUGUUUGAAA